GGAAGACAGCGCGCCGUGGUGGCGCAUCCCGUUUCGAAAACGGGCGCGGGGUGAAAGCCCUGGGGUUCGACUCCUCUGUCUUCCG
rnacentral:tRNA from 1 species